rnacentral:rRNA from 1 species
GGAAUAUUGGUCAAUGGGCGUAAGCCUGAACCAGCCAAGUAGCGUGAGGGAUGACGGCCCUACGGGUUGUAAACCUCUUUUGUUCGGGAAUAACGUGCGGCACGCGUGCCGCUUUGCAUGUACCGUUCGAAUAAGGACCGGCUAAUUCCGUGCCAGCAGCCGCGGUAAUACGGAAGGUCCGGGCGUUAUCCGGAUUUAUUGGGUUUAAAGGGAGCGCAGGCGGCCUAUUAAGCGUGACGUGAAAUGUAGUUGCUCAACAUCUGCACUGCGUCGCGAACUGGUUGGCUUGAGUGCACGGGAGGAAGGCGGAAUUCGUGGUGUAGCGGUGAAAUGCUUAGAUAUCACGAAGAACCCCGAUUGCGAAGGCAGCCUUCCGCAGUGUUACUGACGCUCAUGCUCGAAAGCGCGGGUAUCGAACA